rnacentral:rRNA from 3 species
UACCCAAGGUUGACCUCGGAUCAGGUAGGAAG